UUUAAUUUAAUAAUUUAUAUAUGAGUAGUAAAUAUUUUAUUAAAAUUAAAAAAAUUUGGCGGUAUUUUUACAAAUUAGAGGAACUUGUUUUAUAAACGAUAGUACACGAUAAACCUUAUUUAAUUUAAUAUUAUGUAUAUUUCCGUCAUAAAAAUAUUUUUGAAAAAUUAAAAUUUUUAAAAUUUUUUAUUAAAAAAAAUGUCAGGUCAAAAUGCAGGUUAUAAUUAAAUAAAAAUAAGUUACAAUAAAUUUAUUUAAACAGUUUAUGAAAUGAAAUUUUUAUAUUAAGGUGGAUUUAUAAGUAAAUUUAUUAAUAUAAAUUAAUUGAAUAAUGUUCUAAAAUAUGU
rnacentral:rRNA from 1 species